AGCAAGUCAAACUCUUUGAGAGUAUAAACAAGGUUCUUUGACAAAGAAUGAUAAAUCACUUCUAAUUAUUAAAUAGCUUAAACAGUUUAAAUGUUCUUUAUUUCAGCUGGCCAAAGUGGAAAACUUUCAGUCAUUUGAGAAUUAAAAAAAAAUAAUUUGUUGCACUAAGUACAUUUGGAAAGGUAAGAAGGUAAGCCACCAUUUUGAACUGUAGUUGUUAUGGUGCAAGUCAUAUCACUGUACUGGUAGGUAGAAUUCAAAGAUUUUGACCUUUUUUUGAAGGUGAAUAAGAAUACAUUUCCUAAUGAGGAUUAUAUGUCACUGAAUGUGGGAACCUAAAUGUGGGAAGGAUUACAGGUUUGAAAGGUACUAUCAAACAACUACUGAGAAUUGUUGCAAUAUACAAAAUGCUGCUUUUUUAAAUGGUAUUAUAAUUAGCAUACACAAAUGGUAGGGGGAGUAAAUAUUAGGACCAAGAGAACUUGAAUAUUCCAAACACUAAUGCCACAAGAAGCAGCUGCAGAAAAAUAAAAAAGACAGGCUAUACUAUGCAGAGGACAUACAGUAUAUAGUACUGCUAAGCAACAUUUUCUGAUCUAUCACUGUCCAUCCCUCUCUCUGACUCUCUAAUUUUCACUCUCUCUCUACAUUUCCCCUCCACAACAUAGAUGUAGUUUGCUUUCUGUUUCAAAUUGUUUUCUUAACGUCUCCAACUACUGUGCCAGUUUUUAAAAGUAUUUGUGUUCUCAAUGACUUUGUUCUUCACUCUCUCACAGACAAUUCCAUUGUCCUCUCCACCCCUCCCUUCAUUUAAAUCAAUGACCCAGUUCUGAUGAAAGGUCAUUGACAUGAAACAUCAAUUUUGUCUCCCUCUUCACUAAUGCUGCUUUGGCUACUGGAUGGUCCAGCAAUUUUUGCUUUGGUUUUAGACUUCCACCAUCUGCAGUAGUUUGCUCUGAAUUACUAAUAUAAUAAUGUUCUGAUAAUCUAGCAUGAUUAGGAUUGUGGAGGUGAUGCACUGACAGAUUUUCUAGACUAUUAAAUGCUAUUUCUUUUAAUAUUUCUCUAAUAUUUUACCACUUUUCAGGAUGUUACACAAUAUGACAACAGAUAUUCCAGUGAAGCAGUUAAGUUGAAAGGGUGUGCAGGAACGGGAACAGUUGCACAGGGACUGAAGUCCGGAGAUGAUAUUGGAAUAUUCUAACAAAAGCAUUGUGGCGACCCACUUCCUAGCGCAGUCGAACCAGCUCACAAAUAGCCAGCAUGCCGGCAUAAAGGCCAGUCCCAAAAUGGCGCCAGGUCUGCUUCACUAACAAAGGGAAAAGCUCGUGCAGGACUGUGAAUACGUGCCUCCUACAGCAUCCGUGCCCAGGGAGGGCGGGAUCAGGGAGGCUUUAAAGCGAAGCCGCGAAGUUCGAAUAAAAUCUUCUUUAACUGCA